GGCGAACGGGUGAGGAACACGUGAGGAAUCUGCCUUCAACUCUGGGAUAACUCCGGGAAACCGGGGCUAAUACCGGAUACGAGACCUGCAGGCAUCUGCGGGUCUGGAAAGUUUUUCGGUUGAAGAUGACUUCGCGGCCUAUCAGCUUGUUGGUGAGGUAACGGCUCACCAAGGCGACGACGGGUAGCCGGCCUGAGAGGGCGACCGGCCACACUGGGACUGAGACACGGCCCAGACUCCUACGGGAGGCAGCAGUGGGGAAUAUUGGGCAAUGGAGGAAACUCUGACCCAGCGACGCCGCGUGAGGGAUGAAGGCCUUCGGGUUGUAAACCUCUUUCAGUAGGGAAGAAGCGAAAGUGACGGUACCUACAGAAGAAGCACCGGCUAACUAUGUGCCAGCAGCCGCGGUAAUACAUAGGGUGCAAGCGUUGUCCGGAAUUAUUGGGCGUAAAGAGCUCGUAGGUGGUUCGAUACGUCGGAUGUGAAAAUCAGGGGCUCAACCCCUGACCUGCAUUCGAUACGGUCGAGCUAGAGUUUGGUAGGGGAGACUGGAAUUCCUGGUGUAGCGGUGGAAUGCGCAGAUAUCAGGAGGAACACCGAUGGCGAAGGCAGGUCUCUGGGCCAAUACUGACACUGAGGAGCGAAAGUGUGGGGAGCGAACAGGAUUAGAUACCCUGGUAGUCCACGCCGU
rnacentral:rRNA from 1 species